CCUACGGGUGGCUGCAGUGGGGAAUAUUGGACAAUGGGCGCAAGCCUGAUCCAGCAAUGCCGCGUGGGUGAAGAAGGCCUUCGGGUUGUAAAGCCCUUUUGUACGGGAAGAAAUCCUGUCGGUUAAUACCCGGCGGGGAUGACGGUACCGUAAGAAUAAGCACCGGCUAACUUCGUGCCAGCAGCCGCGGUAAUACGAAGGGUGCAAGCGUUAAUCGGAAUUACUGGGCGUAAAGCGUGCGUAGGCGGUUGGCUAAGUCAGAUGUGAAAGCCCUG
rnacentral:rRNA from 1 species